rnacentral:rRNA from 1 species
CUCCAGACUCCUACGGGAGGCAGCAGUGAGGAAUAUUGGUCAAUGGGCGGGAGCCUGAACCAGCCAAGCCGCGUGAGGGAAGAAGGUCCAGCGUAUCGUAAACCUCUUUUGUCAGGGAACAAAGGCGGGGACUAGUCCCCGGAUGAGGGUACCUGAAGAAAAAGCAUCGGCUAACUCCGUGCCAGCAGCCGCGGUAAUACGGAGGAUGCGAGCGUUAUCCGGGUUUAUUGGGUUUAAAGGGUGCGCAGGCGGGCUGUGAGAGCAGGGGUAAAAGCCCGGGGCCCACCCCCGGGGAGCCGUUGAAACUGGCGGGCUGGAGUUGGAGAGAAGUACGCGGAAUGCGCGGUGUAGCGGUGAAAUGCUUAGAUAUCGCGCAGAACCCCGAUUGCGAAGGCAGCGUACCGGCGCCACACUGACGCUGAGGCACGAAAGCGUGGGUAUCGAACAGGAUUAGAUACCCCCGUAUC